rnacentral:rRNA from 1 species
UACGUAGGGGGCAAGCGUUGUCCGGAAUCAUUGGGCGUAAAGCGCGUGUAGGCGGCUCGAUAAGUCUGCUGUGAAAGUCCAGGGCUCAACCCUGGGAUGCCGGUGGAUACUGUCGAGCUCGAGUCCGGAAGAGGCGAGUGGAAUUCCUGGUGUAGCGGUGAAAUGCGCAGAUAUCAGGAGGAACACCAAUGGCGAAGGCAGCUCGCUGGGACGUGACUGACGCUGAGACGCGAAAGCGUGGGGAGCAAACGGGG